UACGGGGGGGGCAAGCGUUGUUCGGAAUUACUGGGCGUAAAGGGCUCGUAGGUGGCCAACUAAGUCAGACGUGAAAUCCCUCGGCUUAACCGGGGAACUGCGUCUGGUACUGGAUGGCUUGAGUAUGGGAGAGGGAUGCGGAAUUCCAGGUGUAGCGGUGAAAUGCGUAGAUAUCUGGAGGAACACCGGUGGCGAAGGCGGCAUCCUGGACCAUUACUGACGCUGAGGAGCGAAAGCCAGGGGAGCAAACGGG
rnacentral:rRNA from 1 species